GACGGAGGUGGCAAACGUUGCUCGGAAUCACUGGGCUUAAAGGGCGUGUAGGCGGCGAAUCAAGUCGGAUGUGAAAUCUCUCGGCUCAACCGAGAAACAGCACUCGAUACUGGUUUGCUAGAGUGCGAGAGGGGUGAGUGGAACUCCAGGUGUAGCGGUGAAAUGCGUAGAUAUCUGGAGGAACGCCGGUGGCGAAAGCGACUCACUGGCUCGCAACUGACGCUGAGGCGCGAAAGCUAGGGGAGCGAACGGG
rnacentral:rRNA from 1 species